AGAGUCUGUGCCUGGCUCAGAUUGAACGCUGGCGGCAGGCCUAACACUUGCAAGUCGAGCGGUAGAGAGAAGCUUGCUUUUCUUGAGAGCGGCGGACGGGUGAGUAAUGCCUAGGAAUCUGCCUGGUAGUGGGGGAUAACGUUCGGAAACGGACGCUAAUACCGCAUACGUCCUACGGGAGAAAGCAGGGGACCUUCGGGCCUUGCGCUAUCAGAUGAGCCUAGGUCGGAUUAGCUAGUUGGUGAGGUAAUGGCUCACCAAGGCGACGAUCCGUAACUGGUCUGAGAGGAUGAUCAGUCACACUGGAACUGAGACACGGUCCAGACUCCUACGGGAGGCAGCAGUGGGGAAUAUUGGACAAUGGGCGAAAGCCUGAUCCAGCCAUGCCGCGUGUGUGAAGAAGGUCUUCGGAUUGUAAAGCACUUUAAGUUGGGAGGAAGGGCAGUAAAUUAAUACUUUGCUGUUUUGACGUUACCGACAGAAUAAGCACCGGCUAACUCUGUGCCAGCAGCCGCGGUAAUACAGAGGGUGCAAGCGUUAAUCGGAAUUACUGGGCGUAAAGCGCGCGUAGGUGGUUUGUUAAGUUGGAUGUGAAAUCCCCGGGCUCAACCUGGGAACUGCAUUCAAAACUGACUGACUAGAGUAUGGUAGAGGGUGGUGGAAUUUCCUGUGUAGCGGUGAAAUGCGUAGAUAUAGGAAGGAACACCAGUGGCGAAGGCGACCACCUGGACUAAUACUGACACUGAGGUGCGAAAGCGUGGGGAGCAAACGGGAUUAGAUACCCUGGUAGUCCACGCCGUAAACGAUGUCAACUAGCCGUUGGAAGCCUUGAGCUUUUAGUGGCGCAGCUAACGCAUUAAGUUGACCGCCUGGGGAGUACGGCCGCAAGGUUAAAACUCAAAUGAAUUGACGGGGGCCCGCACAAGCGGUGGAGCAUGUGGUUUAAUUCGAAGCAACGCGAAGAACCUUACCAGGCCUUGACAUCCAAUGAACUUUCUAGAGAUAGAUUGGUGCCUUCGGGAACAUUGAGACAGGUGCUGCAUGGCUGUCGUCAGCUCGUGUCGUGAGAUGUUGGGUUAAGUCCCGUAACGAGCGCAACCCUUGUCCUUAGUUACCAGCACGUCAUGGUGGGCACUCUAAGGAGACUGCCGGUGACAAACCGGAGGAAGGUGGGGAUGACGUCAAGUCAUCAUGGCCCUUACGGCCUGGGCUACACACGUGCUACAAUGGUCGGUACAGAGGGUUGCCAAGCCGCGAGGUGGAGCUAAUCCCACAAAACCGAUCGUAGUCCGGAUCGCAGUCUGCAACUCGACUGCGUGAAGUCGGAAUCGCUAGUAAUCGCGAAUCAGAAUGUCGCGGUGAAUACGUUACCGGGCCUUGUACACACCGCCCGUC
rnacentral:rRNA from 1 species